rnacentral:lncRNA from 1 species
UGCAUUUUAGGUAAGUUGAGCCAUGCCUUUUCAUGGCUAGAUAGCUUAUUUCUUUUCAGCACUGAAUAAUAUUCCAAUAUAUGGAUGCAUCAGUUUAUACAUUCAUUUACAGAAAGACAUCUGGUUGCUACCAAGUUUGGGAAAAUAUGAAUAAAAGUAAUAUAAACAUCCACCUGCAAGUUUUUAUGUAGAUAUGUUUGCAUCUCAUUUGGGUAAAUAUCAAGGAAUGUAAUUGGUGGAUCAUAGGGCAGAAGUAUGUUUACUUUUGUAAAAAGUCUCCAAACUAUCUUCCAAAGUGGCUGUGUCAUUUUUCAUUCCUAGAGCAAAGAGUAAGAGUUCCUCUUGCUUCACGUUCUUACCAGCAUUUGAUGUUGUCAGUGUUUUGGAUUGUGGAUAUCCUAUUGGUGUAUGGUGGUAUCUGAUUGCUUUUGUUUGCAAGUCCCUAAAUGCCACAUGAUGUUGAACAUCUUUUCAUCUGCUUACUUGGCAUCAACUGUAGAACUUCUUUGGUGAGGGUCAUCAAGCUUUUUGCCCAUUUUUAAAAUUGGGCUCUUUGUCUUAUUGCUACGUUUUCUGAGUUCUUGUAUAUUUUGGACA